CACGUAGGGUGCGAGCGUUGUCCGGAAUUAUUGGGCGUAAAGAGCUCGUAGGCGGUGUGUCGCGUCGGCCGUGAAAACACCGGGCUUAACUCGGUGCUUGCUUUCGAUACGGGCAGACUAGAGGUAUGCAGGGGAGAACGGAAUUCCUGGUGUAGCGGUGAAAUGCGCAGAUAUCAGGAGGAACACCGGUGGCGAAGGCGGUUCUCUGGGCAUUACCUGACGCUGAGGAGCGAAAGUGUGGGGAGCGAACAGG
rnacentral:rRNA from 1 species